UCCCCUCCCUCUAGUCACGUUCUCUCCCCUCCCCUUCCUCCUGACACACCCACCCACCUCCCUCGACUUCGAUCUAGAUCGGGAAGCCCGGGCCGCCCGCCUCUUCCUCUCCCUCCCGACCACGGCGAGCCACCUUCCACGACUAGCAAUCCGAGGAGCUCCGCCUCCCUCUUAUUCUCCCCCACCCCCACUGGCGACAGAGGCGAGGUGAAAAUUCCCCACGAACCGGAGCGCUUGCCUGCCGAUGGAGGUCUCAGCCAGGCUCCGCCCGCCGUCUCCCGCCUCGACGGCGCCGCCCCGCCGUGGCGGAGGGUCCCUGCGGCGGCUGCUCCCUUCGGCCCGGCCCGCCUCCCGAGCGGUCUCCGCCAAGGUGCUUCCCAGUGCGGAGCCUCACCACUCUCCAGUCGCCGCGCCCCUCUCUCCCCUCUCCUCGCAAUGGUGGCCGCGCCUCCCCAGCCCACCGCCCCCGCCCCCGCCCCCGCGAGCGGCGGCGACGCGUUCCACAUGGGCUUCGUCAGCGUGGGGAACCUGGCCGAGAGCAUCGCGCGCGGCGUCGCGGCGUCGGGCGUCCUCCCGGCCUCCGCCGUCCGCACCGCGCCCCACCGCCGCCCCGAGCGCGGCGCCGCCUUCGCCUCCCUUGGCGCCACCAUCCUCGCAUCCAACGCCCAGGUUGUCGACGACAGCGAUGUGAUCACCAUCUCCGUCAAGCCCCAGAUUGUGAAGCAGGUUCUGGUUGAGCUCAAGCCCUUGUUGUCUGAAGAAAAGCUUCUGGUCUCCAUUGCCGCUGGCAUCAAAAUGAAAGAUUUGCAGGACAACGAGUUCAUCUGCGGCAGCUAUCGCUGUGAGCAGUCCGUCCACGACGCGCUCCGCAGCGUCUUCGCCGGGCACAACGAGAUCCUCAACGUCUGGAAGAUGACCAGCCAAAACUGAAUUUGAAAGACAAGUUUUAAGGUCUAGGUUGGCAAGUGAAGAAGUAUCAAGCUGCGGCCAUCAAUACAGGACAUGUGCCACUUGCAGAUUUUGUUGUACUAUGAGGUGGAUGAAAGAGUUCAAGACUGGGUCAUGGGAAGUGCUGCUAAGAAAUGGAGAGAUUUCAAGUCAGAUUUGAAGGCUUUGUGUUUUCAUGAAGAAAAGACCGACGAGGAGCUCCUUGCUGAUUGUGAUGCUAGAGUUCAUGAAGAUGACUGGAAAUGGCUUAUUGACCAUUGGAGGACUGAUGCAGCUAAGCAACGUAGUGAGAUAGGGAAAUUAAAUCGCCAAGGGAUGACCUUGUUUCAUACAACUGGCAGCAAGAGUCAUGCACGUGUUAUCGAAGAAGAGAAAGAGCUGGAGAACAAAGCAAAUGAACAACCAGAAUUGUUAGAGAAAACCAUAGAGCAAGGUCAUCGGCAUAAUGCCUUUGCAAAGUGCGGUUUGUUUGGUGAGCAAAAAGGAUCUUCUGCUGGGAUAUGUUUACACCUAAAACCAGAUUGUAUAUUUUGUGCUUGUCGAUGAUGUAAUACUUUGACUUAUGAACCUACGACUGUACGCAUGUGUGCAUGUAGACCUGGUGGAUGUUGUGCUUUUGGCUGUCCUGUUACUGGACUUGUAUGCCUAUGUGUGCAUGUAGGCACACAUAAUGGAUCUUUGUGCUAGCUUUUGGUUGUCCUGGACUAAUGAACCUAUGUAUGGAUGAUGAAUUGCUCAUAAUUAGUCUAUGCACACGUAUUAUCUCUAAAGUGUGAUACUAUCUUUAUUACUCUAUAUGCAUGUGUGUUUUAUAUAUAGAUGGCACAAAUUGGACUGGAGAUAAAUCAUAUAUAGUUGUUGAAAUACAUGUAUACAAUAUGGGAGAUUCUGUGUGGUCGCAGUGAAGAAAAAUACAGGCAGACUGACUGCCGGGAAAUCUUCCAUCUGCCCUCAA